UAAAGAAUUUCGGUCAUCGAUGGGGAUGCGUUCCAUUAGCUUGUUGGCGGGGUAACGGCCCACCAAGGCAUCGAUGGAUAGGGGUUCUGAGAGGAAGGUCCCCCACAUUGGAACUGAGACACGGUCCAAACUCCUACGGGAGGCAGCAGUGAGGAAUACUGGUCAAUGGGCGCUAGCCUGAACCAGCCAAGUAGCGUGAAGGAUGACUGCCCUAUGGGUUGUAAACUUCUUUUAUAUGGGAAUAAAGUGCAGUAUGUAUACUGCUUUGCAUGUACCUUAUGAAUAAGGAUCGGCUAACUCCGUGCCAGCAGCCGCGGUAAUACGGAGGAUCCGAGCGUUAUCCGGAUUUAUUGGGUUUAAAGGGAGCGUAGGCGGGUUGUUAAGUCAGUUGUGAAAGUUUGCGGCUCAACCGUAAAAUUGCAGUUGAUACUGGCAUCCUUGAGUACAGUAGAGGUAGGCGGAAUUCGUGGUGUAGCGGUGAAAUGCUUAGAUAUCACGAAGAACUCCGAUUGCGAAGGCAGCCUGCUGGACUGUAACUGACGCUGAUGCUCGAAAGUGUGGGUAUCAAACAGGAUUAGAUACCCUGGUAGUCCACACAGUAAACGAUGAAUACUCGCUGUUUGCGAUAUACAGUAA
rnacentral:rRNA from 1 species